ACCUGUGAUUGGUAGGAGGGAAGAUAGUGAAAACUAUGGAGACAGAAACAGGCUGGAUGAGUAGCUCGGGAUAAAAUGUUGUUUUCUCUGUUUCUGUUUCCUCCUUAUUUCAGAUAUUUUACCUGGAUUCUGUUUAUCUGAAGCAGUGAGCUCCGCGUAUCUCUGCUUGUUAGCUGCUAAGCUAAGCUAGCCGAAACGGGGAUGCUAAAUGUCGCCUCUAGCAUGCCAAUGUUAGCCACUAUGCUAGCGUUAGCUUAUGUGGCAGGCGGAUUAAUGAACCGUGGACAGGUGAAAGCUGGAGACAACGCCGGACUGAAGGUUAGAACGAGCCACGGUUACCGGGAAAACGGUUUUAUGGAGCCUGGUGUUACAGUGGAGGAGCUACCGGUGACCAGACGGUUGUUUUUCACCGGGGAGAGGUCAGGCUUCAGCUGCGGCCUGCUAGCCUCCAUCAUCCAGGACUCAGAGGAAACUGUUCUGGUUUUAGAGAACAAAGGACUACUGUUGGCGGCUGCAGUUGAAGACGGUUGAGUCGGAGUCGAUCAGCGGAAUAAAAGGAUGACAUCAAGACCCACAACAGCGACCUGACAGCAUGCAGCCAUCAGCUGGAGCUGCCUGCUGGGAACCGGGAGGUCAGGACGAAGCCUUGAUUCUGGCUCGGCUUUAGCAUCACGCAGCUCUGGCCUCCAGAAGAACUCCGAUCCUCUCUGGCUCACGUCGAGGAGCUCUGUCAUCUCCCUCUCCUCCCGGCUCUCUGCUGUCAGAUCUGUCUUCGCUGAGGCUUGUAAAAUCACCUGGCAAGAACAACUCAAAGCGCCGGGCCGAGCCGAGCUCCCCGAAGUCCCACAAACUUUUACAAACUUUUUUUUUUCUGUUUCAUUAAAAUGAAAAGUUCACUGAAAAGGAGUUCUCGUUGUCGUGCCAGAGGGGUCAACGAUCACUGAAUCUGCUGCAGCGUUACAAGGUGAUUCCAUCUAAAUUUAUCCCAUUCCAAACUUUUCUCAACAAUGGCUAUUAAAUUUAAUUUACUAAACAUGUUGGAGUCGUUCCGACCCAGCGAGGGGUCCAUUUUAUUCUCUGCUCUUGGACGGGCUCGCAGAUUAAUUUUACGGGUUCUGACAACAAAAAGAAAAACCAUUAUUGGAAUUUCUUGCUUUAGUCGGACAAGGUUGUGUGAAUUAAAUGAAUCUAAUAAUCGAUGUAAACACAGAAAAAGAUUAUUUUACCAUCAGAGGCGGACUUCA